GAAAGACGCGCAUUUGUUAUCAUCAUCCUUAUUAUCAGAGAUACAUAAUUUGGCCACGUUGACGUGGCCUUUU
rfam:Serratia symbiotica genome assembly, type strain CWBI-2.3T, contig: SYMBAF_Contig_9